rnacentral:misc_RNA from 1 species
AUCUGCCCCUGCACAGGUUCAGCAGAGAGUAAGAUCAGUCAUGUAUCUGGUAUCUGAUAUCUGAUAUGCAAAAAUAUGUGUUUUUUUUUUUAAUCUGAGAGUUCUUGUCUGCAGUUCUGCCUUCUCUCUCUAUCUACUCCCCCCUUCACCACCUCUCAUUAUUUUAUUUUAUUUUAUUUGUGUUACAUCCUUUAUCCUUCUCUAUUGAAUGGAAACUGUUAUAGCAUGUCAUGGUAAUAUCAUUGUAUUGAUCUGCAGUUCAGUUCCUUAUUGCAUUAUCUCCUUUUAGUUUUAUAUUUUCCUUUGGCUAAAGAUUGAAGUUCCCAAAUUGGUGGGUUAAAGCUAUAGUGAUAUUCUGGACUUUUCUAUGGUCCUUCAUCUGAUAUUUCUUAAGGCAACAAUAUAGUAUGCAUGUAAGGGAGAUGUGCGACUCUUUUUGUUGUACAAAUUGCUUCCAACAUCAAGAUAGACUAUUAAGAAAAAGUUAUACAAAUUUGGCUGGGAGUCUUAAUCUUUGGAAGUAAUUGGGAAUAGCACAACAUAUGCUAGGAGUAGGUGUCGUCAGUAGCCCCAGUCGCAGGCUGGUUACAGUCUAUGGACCAAGGGCCCUAAACCGGACUGUAGAUUUCUCGUGGUUCUAUUUUGAUUCGGUUUAAGUCAAUCCAACAGUUGAAU